GAGUUUGAUCCUGGCUCAGGAUGAACGCUAGCGGCAAGCUUAAUACAUGCAAGUCGAGGGGCAGCAUGUCCCGCAGCAAUGCGGGAUGAUGGCGACCGGCAAACGGGUGCGGAACACGUACAGAACCUUCCUUCGAGCGGGGAAUAGCCCAGAGAAAUUUGGAUUAAUACCCCAUAGUAUUACGAAGUGGCAUCACUUUGUAAUUAAAGAUUUAUCACUUGAAGAUGGCUGUGCGGCUGAUUAGAUAGUUGGUGAGGUAACGGCUCACCAAGUCUGCGAUCAGUAACUGGUGUGAGAGCACGACCAGUCCACACGGGCACUGAGACACGGGCCCGAUCCUACGGGAGGCAGCAGUAAGGAAUAUUGGUCAAUGGACGAAAGUCUGAACCAGCUAUGCCGCGUGGAGGAUGAAGGCCCUCUGGGUUGUAAACUUC
rnacentral:rRNA from 1 species